GCCCCAGCUGGUUGUGAAAAAAAUAUAGACAUAGUCAAACCAAAGGCAAUACAAGUUACAGUGCUGAGAUUACAUUUGCAAAGCUUAACUGUCCAGUGAGAUCCAACAGUCUGCCUUUGCGACCCUGGAGCUGGCGUGGUUUGGGGAAGCUGAAGAAGCCACAGGUAGCCGGCCUGGACUGGAAUCUCUGAAAAGACGCCCCAGGAGACCCCAGGGCGUAAAAGACCUGCCCUCCCAAGAGAGGAAGCAAGUUGGAGAUUGCACAGCACCUUCUCUGAACGUUAUACACAGAAGUGGCCAGUCUGGACGUACGUGUGUUCGUGCUCUGAGCCUCACUGAGCGGCACCACCCAUCCCCUGCCGCUCUCUGACGAGGGCACCGUACGCGCUGGGCAUCCUCCCCUCCAGACCAGGGCUGGACUAAAGGAAUCAAUCCCCUGGAGUGCCCGCAGCUGCCCAUCUCUGCAGCACUGAUGCCCCCUUGUGGCCAGAGUAGAUAAUCCUGCUCCACACACACGGGCUGCUCCAUCAUCCCCAAUCCCGGGAGAGGAGUGGACGAAAACUGGCGUUGUGGGUACAUGAGCCGGCCCAGACCAUUUCUCCAGUUUGUCCAGAUCAUUUUGGAUUCUAAUCCUGUCCUCCAAAGUGCUUGCAACCCCGCCCGGCUUGGCAGCCCCUCAAAUUUCAUCCGGGUACUUCUCUACGCCAUUGUCCAAAUCACUGACGAAGCUAUUGAAUAGAGCCAGGCUCAAGAUGGCCCCACUCAACAGGCCCUUCCAGCUGCAUUGUGAACCAUUGAGAACUAUUCUCCGAGUACGGUUUUCCAACCAGUUGUGCACCAACCUUAUAGUCAGUUCAUUUGGCUCUAGUUCCCUAUUUUGCUUAUGAGAAGGUCACGGGAGACAGUAUCAAAAGCCGUCCUCAUCUACUAGUGGGGGCAUCACCACCAUGGUCGCUGAGCCUCUUAGCUUCACCACCCCGCUGGGAGGCAGGGCAGUGUAAAGGCUGCUAUCUUGGCCAACAGCCACGGUUGAACCAGUGAUCUCGUGAGCUGAAAGUCUCAGAGCCAGGCUCUGGCAUCAGACUCCCAUCCCCUGUGGUCCGGGCACAGAGGGGAACAUGACACACAUGCGUCCCUGGGGAAAGCAGCAGCAUCCCCAUCUGACAGCUACACCCACGGGGAGUUUAAGUGCCUUUCAGGGAGACAGUGCUGUCUAGUGAGUAGGGUACUGGCCUGAGACACAGGAGAUGUGGGUUCUAUUGCCCAGGUCUGCCACUGAUUUGCUGGUGAACUUGGGCAUGUCACUUCCCCACCCUGUGCCUCAGUUUCCCCAUCUGUAAAAUGGAGGUAAUGCUACUGACCGCCCUUUGUAGACCCUUUUGAGCUCCAGGGUUGAAAGGGGCUAUAGAAGAGCAUGGCGGUGGCAUUAUUCCAAAGGGGAUACGUAGAAAGUCUUGGACAAAAACAAGAAUUGAGCCCAGAUCCUCUGACUUCCAGGGUUUGGGACACAGGUCUCUGCCUCCAAGCGGUGAGAUCUGAGGGUGCAUUCCAGGAUGAGCAGGGAGGGGACGCACUUUGGUGAAGCCAGGCGGCAUGGGGAUCAAUGGGGCUGUGGGUGGUGGUGGCAGCAGGGGGACACCUCAUUCACGAUUGACAAAGUCCUUUAAAGGGGAAACAUAAGCUGCCCCCCUGCUGGCCAUAGGGCGGGGAGGGAGUCCCGCAGGGCUCACAGAGGGUCUCACACUCCCACUUCUCAGGGAAUUGCUCCCGCUUCCAUGCACCUGCCUGGCCAGGGGUAGGGUUACCAUACGUCCUCUUUUUCACGGACAUGUCCGGCUUUUUGGCACUCAAACCCCCGUCUGGGGGGUAUUGCCAAAAAGCCGAACAUGUCCGGGAAAAUGGCGGCUCUGCUC